AAGUCGUAACAAGGUUUCCGUAGGUGAACCUGCGGAAGGAUCAUUACCAAAUCCAAAUCUCAACCCCAUGUGAACUUGUUUUUUGUCAGUCUUUGGGGGAUAUCAUUCUCUUUUCAGAGUGUUGAUAUUCCCCAAAUGAGCCCGGCAUACAAAUUUAUUUUUGCAUUGUCCGUGUCUCAUUGCAAAGACGAAAACUUAACAACUUUUAAAUUUUACGUUGGAAUAACUUUUAUUAAUAAUACUAAUAAAGGACAACUUUUAACGGUGGAUCUCUUGGCUCGU
rnacentral:misc_RNA from 1 species